CGCGGGGUAGAGCAGAAGGUCAGCUCGGGUGGCUCAUUACCACCAGGUCGUGGGUUCGAAUCCCACCCCCGCUACCA
rnacentral:tRNA from 1 species